CAUCUCGCCCCCACGCCGCCUCGCGCGCCCGACGCCGCAUCUCGCCCCCACACGCCGCCUCUCGCGGCCUCGCGCCCCCGCCCGGAGCCUCGCGCCGGCCGCGGCCCGCACUCGAGCGCCCCCGUCGCUGCACUCACGCCGUCCGUCGCUGCUCUAACCCAACACUGCUAUCUAACCCAACACAGCUUUCAUUUAUAUGGAGUGCCGGUUCUUGUAGCAGAAGAUUGAGGAAGGCAAACAUCACGUGGAUGUGAUUUUUGAAGUAAUCAUCGACCACAUUGCAGAGCUUAUGACUAUCUCGUACAGAAGCUGCUGGAUGUUUGUGAUGAGGAGCAGAGGCUGAGGAUCAUCGCUGUACUGACUGAGGACCCUGUGAAGCUGCUGAAAAUCUCCCUGAACACCCAUGGCGUGUUAGGUUCCGUGAUAGCAGAAGCCGGUGAUAUGUAGAACUAUGUAUAUGUCAUCAUCUUCCUUGUUUUUAUUAUUCUUUUGUCCGACAAGAAAGUCCACUCUUUUUGUAACAGCCUUUAGCACUCUGCAUAGUGCAGUUUUCAGGAUCAAUCUUGAUUUCUCUUAGAUAGGAAUAUUUUCUCUUGUUACUGCUUGCUGCUCCCAUUUGUUUAUAUCGAUUUGUGACUAUUGUUUGUGUUAGACACUGAGAAACUCCUGAAGCGAUUAUAGUACAUUGUUCAAGAAAAUCAAUCUAUGAUAGGGAGGAUUUCUGGA